rnacentral:rRNA from 1 species
GCUGAUCUCCCCCAAGAGCUCAUAUCGACGGGGAGGUUUGGCACCUCGAUGUCGGCUCGUCACAUCCUGGGGCUGGAGAAGGUCCCAAGGGUUCGGCUGUUCGCCGAUUAAAGUGGCACGCGAGCUGGGUUCAGAACGUCGCGAGACAGUUCGGUCCCUAUCUGUUGUGGGCGUUGGAAGUUUGAGUGGGGCUGUCCUUAGUACGAGAGGACCGGGAUGGACAAACCGCUAGUGAAUCUGUUAUGGCGCCAGCUGUACUGCAGAGUAGCUACGUUUGGAAUAGAUAAGCGCUGAAAGCAUCUAAGUGCGAAACUAGCCACAAGAUGAGACUUCCAUUGAGGGCCGUAGCAGACUACUACGUUGAUAGGUUACAGGUGUAAAGGUGGUAACAUCAUAGCCGAGUAAUACUAAUUACCCGAAGCUUUCUUCCC